GGGUUUACCCAUUGGUCAGGCUUAAUUGUCUGUACUGGUGAGAUAAAUCUCUACCUUCUGAGGAACUUUCAUGUCAUUAAUUUGGUGUGAUUGGAAAUCAGGACUGUUACUUUGAAAAAAUUAGAGUGCUCCAUACAGGCAUUUGCUUGAAUACAUUAGCAUGGAAUAACGGAAUAGGAC
rnacentral:rRNA from 1 species